UACUCUGUUUAAUGAAUCUAUAUAAUAUUUGAGUUUGUCUUUAUGAAAUCAGUAAGAAAAAAUAUAAACAUUUAUUUUUUUGCUUUAUUUAUAAAAACAGAGGUUUGCAUGUUUUAUCUUUUUUAAUGUAUUUGAUUAUAAUUUUUUUUUAUCCAACAUCAUCCAUUUUGUCUUUACAAAUAUAGGUCAUGGUAUCAUUGGCCAAUUAGCAUAUAAUAAUGUGGCAUUUGCAGUCUGGCCUUUGCUAGCUUUGCCACGUUUUUAUUUCUCGUCUGAUCGUUUUACUCACAUAAACUGUAUUUUAAUUUGGAUAAAUUUUCAAAAAAGCCGCUUAUCAUCUACAUCACUGAUGUCCUUUCUGAACUUUCUGAAUUUGCCGAACUGGCAAAUUAAAAGAACUCGGUGGCCACUGCUUAGCAAUGAAUUAAACAUACAAUAUUUUAAUGAAGCAAAGUGAAAGUGAAACAUCGGAAAAAGGGUCUCAGACGUUUGCCUGAAAAAAGAAAUGUGUACAGUUUCCGUACUUUUUGGGUAGAAUAUUUUCUAUUUGGUGUGGUCCUGAAUUAUUUAUUUUUUUUGUCAAUUCCCAGCAAUGUGUGCCCAAAGCUGUUUUGGAGAAAAAUGUUUCUGGAUGUUCAUGGCCCUUCUUAUUAUGAUAUUAAAAUUAAAGCCAUAAAAGUCAGGGAGAAAAUCUUUUUCAAAAAAAUGUAAAAAGAGUCCAUUUGCAUGAAUUUAAUUUACUGGUGGGCCAAAUUUGUAACAUUCUUGAACUGAGGUCAGGAGCCACACAAAAUUAUUCCAAGGGCCACAUAUGGCCCCUGGAUUAAGCUUUGGACACCCCUAAUCUACAAGUUACCCUUGUGGAGUCUUGUGCAGCCUUUGCAUCUGCCCUGCAUGGAUGCUUUACCAAGUGCAGUGGAACAAAAUAUUUCUCAGGGAUCAACUGUGGAGACAGCCAGAAUGGAGGCAGCGAUUGUCACGCUCGUGAUGACAAGCAUAUUCGGGCUGCCUGCUUUUGGACAAAGUCUGGGCCACCCAGUCACUACAGGUGCCAGGGGUUCUCUGACACAUUUUUACUGCAAGCCUCCAGGAUGUGCUGCCAAUGUGGCCAGAGUGUUUUGUGAUGACAAAUACUUUGAGCGUGGCCCACUCCCAGACUGCUCAGGACCUCCACAGCUCUAUACAGUGUGCCAGCUGAAUGGUCGUGCACUUGUUUCCAGCCCAGCUGGGUCUAGCUGUGAAUUUGAGGAAGAUGGUGCAUACAUUCUAACGCAAAGGUGUACAGACAUCGACCCCAUCUGCCUUUGGAUUCAUGCUACCUCUCCAUCACCAACCCAUUCAAACAAUGGGGAGAAAGCGGCGGGUGUCAGUCCAGGAUACACUGCUAUAGCAGCUACCUGUUUCACCUGCUCAAUCAGCUCUGCUGUAGAUUCUGUCUGCUGGCCCAACAGGCAACUCUGUCUAGUGACCUUUCCAGCCAAAUGAAUACAGUGUGUGACUGCAACAUCCUUCCCUCUUUGGGGUGGGCUUGAGUACAGUUCACUGCUAAUGAUGGCAAACGGAUUCGACUGCUUCCUACUGAGAACUGACGACAGUUAUACUUAUUGUGCCCAUAAGGAAAACUAUUUCUGAUAAGUAUGUUUGGUUAAAAACUUGCGUAUGAAUGCUGCUUUCGCUGAAAUAGCAGAAAUAUUUGUUCUGUUUGUUAGCGCCUAUAGAGGAGGUGACUGCUUGAAGGUAAAAUAUAGAAGGAUAAGGUCCAAAAAUGUGUCAGAACCUGGAAGUUGUAAGUUAGCCAAAAUGUCUGUUUCAACUCUAAACAAGAAAAUGCUUUUACAAGUAGAUCAUGUGGUACUGACGAAGACUUUAAUUUGUGAUUUUCAUCAUGCACUUAGUACAAAAGCAGGUCAGGGUCAAGCAAGGGGUUGGUCCCUUCUUUUUGUUUUGGUCUGCAAUCCAGUUUUUGUGUAUUGAUCAGUAUGUUAAAAAGCAAGACUAGAGGAAGAGUUAGUAUUUAAUAGAUGGUAAAAUAUACGUAAACAUUAUUUAUAUUCAGAUGACUUAUCAAUAUAAGUUUCACCCAGAUAACGUUUAGGUACUAAAACCUUAAAAUCUAACUACCAAUAACCUAUCCAUUGGGCUGAUUACAUUACUGAAUAACAACAAACAUGCUUUACAAACUGUCUGUGAUACAUGAACAGGUAUGAACCUGUUUCAACCCCAAAGCUGAGCUGACCCUUUAAAUAACAUAAAACCUUAGAAUAAUCAAUAGAUGGCACUGUUGCUUUGCAAAUAACUUUGGUUGUAUUACCUGGUCUUCUGUACUUAUAUUGAUUUAAAGCGGCAUUGAGAAGGUUAAGAAAGUCGAGCUUCCUUCCACUCUCCAGAAAUAUGCAUGUUGGGUUAAUUUGUUUCUCACAUUUUCCCUCAGGAAUGUUCUGUGAUAGACUGGGGACUUGUGCAGGGUAUACUCGUCCCUUGCCAAGUGACUUGGAUGGGUGUUAAAUUUAGAAAGUUUGGCUUUUUGCUGCUAACCUAUGUUGUUUGCUGUUAUCUGUCCACUUGCAUCACUGAGGGCCAAAACCUCCUUACAAACGCUGACUGUGACGUGAGAUCUGAAGUUUUGUUUAUUCUAUUUGUAAAUGGUGCAUGUGUCCUCAAUAUUAAUCCUUUCAUUCCACAGUUGGUGUUGUUGCACUUCUAGGAGCCAUUGGUGUACUAGUCUACUGUUCUAAUAGACGCAGUCGAAGGCUAAACCAGGAGCAAAACAGUGACCCUGAUGUGGAUGAACAUCUAACAGACAUCCAGCCCUCUGGAGACACAACUGAGAG